GCCCGAGUAGCUCAGUUGGCAGAGCAGCGCUUUCAUAUGGCGCCGGCCGCUGGUUCGAUCCCAGCCUCGGGUA
rnacentral:tRNA from 1 species